AGAUAGCAGGUUGAUUGGCAUGUUGGACCCUGUGAACACUGGGUACUGGAACUGAAAGCCUGGGACAUUUGAGACGUGAUGUGACUCGCCAAGGGCAUUUGCUGAAAUCAGAAAGAGAACCAAGUGGAAGUUGUUGAUCUUUUUGUAAAUAUAUUGUUUAAAUUCAUGAGUAUUAUUUUUAAUAAAUUAGCAAAAAA